CACCAACCCUUCCGCAAUCCCAUGUCAUCCUCCCACCCAGCUCUGCCACCUUCGCCCUGCUAUCUCUACAGUGGGUUUGGCGCUCAGCGCUGGAAACAAGCACAAACUUUGGGGACCUUCUCCCCUCUGCCUCAUGCCACCCCACGUCACUGAAUCUCCCUUCUCUCCCCACCCACCACCUCCCGUUUGAGCUGGGAUCCAGGCUCACUGGAGAUUGGAAACGAAGGGCUCGGACUUUUCCUCAUAACUAACAGCAAUCCCCUCUAUGAAAAACUCCCCAUCGCUAUCCCGUUUUGGACACCGAAUAUACUCAGACUGCGCAGCCUCCCCUCGCUUCGUUGCAAAACUGGGAAACCCCCCUGCUCCUGGCGAUCAGCCGGCCCUCCUUCGCCCUCCUGCCUACUUUGCUGCUCCGUGACAUUGAGCUCCCCAGAGACGCCUCUGCAGCCGGGAGCAGCAACCCCUAUCUAGGGUCAUCUAUCUACAAGUGGGAAACAGACUCCCUCUAGAGCCACCGGGGGUUGGAGAUUAAAGGACUGAAGCGUCCGGCAACAGUCCUGCCAGCUGAGCGCCUGCGCGCCGCCCUGCCCCAAGCCACUCCGCCCCCACACCCCACUUUCCCGAAACCCCAGGGGCUUCUUGACACUGCAGAAUCCCGCAUCGGCAGAGGGAGUGCCUUCUUCCAAAGCCGGAGAGAGGGAGAGGAAACUCAUUCUGUACAAGGCGACACUUUGGGCAGAUUUCCUUGUGCUCAAGUCACUGAAAAUCUGCUUGCUAAGUCCUACAAAGAAACUGCAAAGGUGUGGUGGAUUGGAAAGGAGGAGCUUUAGCCAGAGCAACAUCUCAGAUCUCUGACAUUGCAGCUUUAGGGAGAAGUCCAAGUGUUGUAAAUGACAGCACUGUGUUUCAGGACACUGGCCUCUACCCAGGUGAUUUAUAAUAAAACAACCUUCUUUGGUUCUCUAUUCA
rnacentral:lncRNA from 1 species